AACGAACGCUGGCGGCAUGCCUAACACAUGCAAGUCGAACGAGACCUUCGGGUCUAUUGGCGCACGGGUGCGUAACGCGUGGGAACCUGCCCUUAGGUUCGGAAUAACUCCCCGAAAGGGGUGCUAAUACCGCAUAGUGUCUUCGGACCAAAGAUUUAUCGCCUUUGGAUGGGCCCGCGUUGGAUUAGGUAGUUGGUAGGGUAAUAGCCUACCAAGGCGACGAUCCAUAGCUGGUCUGAGAGGAUGAUCAGCCACACUGGGACUGAGACACGGCCCAGACUCCUACGGGAGGGAGCAGUGGGGAAUAUUGGACAAUGGGGGCAAGCCUGAUCAAGCAAUGCCGCGUGAGUGAUGAAGGCCUUAGGGUUGUAAAGCUCUUUUACCCGGGAUGAUAAUGACAGUACCGGGAGAAUAAGCCCCGGCUAACUCCGUG
rnacentral:rRNA from 1 species